AGAAAAGGGGAAGGUGAGGCACAAUUUUUAUAUUCUUAAAUCAGCUGCGAUAACCUCGCUUCCUUUUUUUUUGCUCCGCUUAAUUUUGUCCUUCUUUGUGCCAUUUUCAUACC
rnacentral:ribozyme from 13 species